CUACGGGGGGCAGCAGUGAGGAAUAUUGCACAAUGGGGGGAACCCUGAUGCAGCAACGCCGCGUGGAGGAUGACGCAUUUCGGUGUGUAAACUCCUUUUAUAUGUCAAGAAAAUGACGGUAGCAUAUGAAUAAGCACCGGCUAACUCCGUGCCAGCAGCCGCGGUAAUAGCGGAGGGUGCAAGCGUUACUCGGAAUCACUGGGCGUAAAGGACGCGUAGGCGGGUUGGAAAGUCAGGUGUGAAAUCCUACAGCUUAACUGUAGAACUGCACUUGAAACUUCUAAUCUAGAGUAUGGGAGGGGGAGAUGGAAUUAGGGGUGUAGGGGUAAAAUCCGGAGAUAUCACGAGGAAUACCUAAAGCGAAGGCGAUCUCCUGGAACAGUACUGACGCUAAGGCGUGAAAGCUGGGGGACCAAACAGGAUGAGAUACCCGCGUAUUC
rnacentral:rRNA from 1 species